rnacentral:rRNA from 1 species
AAGAGAGGAGAAGGUCACACCCGUUCCCAUCCCGAACACGGUAGUUAAGCUUCUCUGCGCCAAUGGUAGUUGGGGGCUUCCCCCUGCGAGAGUAGGUCGCUGC